rnacentral:rRNA from 1 species
ACGUAGGGGGCGAGCGUUGUCCGGAAUUACUGGGCGUAAAGCGCACGUAGGCGGGCUGUCAAGUCGGCCGUGAAAGGCACUGGCUCAACCGGUGUUUGUCGGUCGAUACUGGCGGUCUGGAGUAUGGGAGAGGGAACUGGAAUUCCCGGGGUGGCGGUGAAAUGCGUAGAUAUCGGGAGGAGGACCAGUGGCGAAGGCGGGGUCCGGGCCCAUUACUGAGGCUGAGGUGCGAAAGCCGGGGGAGCGAACGG